UUUUGUACAGCAUGUUAAGGAAUAUGCAAUGCUGUGAUAACUUCGAAUUUUGGUGAUUACUUCUACUAUUGGUAACAAUAAACAAUGAUGAUGAAAACGUCAGAUAUAAGCCUGUCUGUCUUUGAAGGAAAACCUUGCUACAAUGUUAUGAAUUAUGACCCUAAACAACAUAUUUAAUGAAUUAUCGAUCCUGCAAAUGGAUUUUCAUCAUGCGACAGAGCUCCCUCCCUACUGAACUCCAAGGCCUGCAUUGAUAUAUAUACCCUUAUUUUAAAUGGUGUACCAUUGCUUUCAUGGCAUAGAAAUGUAUAGAUUCCCAUUACUCUCCAUUGUGUUUCUGAAAUGUAUAACACUGCUAUUACAUAUGCGCCAUUUGGAAUUAAUGCUUGUAACUGAUUUUAACAUUCUGUCUUUCCUUUUUUUAUGUGCUAAUAUCCAACAGAUGAAUAUAAA